CUAGAUAGGAACGGUGUUAUUUUGGAAUUUAGAUUGUAGAUGACGCUGUUUUAGGUUUUUUUUCGGCUUAGUUAUCUCAAGCCAGUUAGUAAACCUGAUGUAACGAUCUUUAUAAGAAUUCUAAUGUAGUAGUCAACUACUGUUUUGUAAAUGUUUAAAUGCUAUAUAUCGAGUGAAAUUAAAAUGCUGUCGGGAUCCAGAUGCACGGCGAAUCCCUGCCUCAUCACCGCAGUUGUCGAUGCGAACGUUAGCUAGUUAACUAGCAAUUUAACUAGCUUUACAAGCGGUGUCAAUGCUAUCGCUCAAUAAAUGUCUACUUGCAAGUGUUGUAUUUUGGUAGUUAAUUGUGUGACUUAAGAUCCUGCCAUCUGUUUACUAACGUUAGCUAGGUAACGGAGUUAGUUUGUCACACAUUGUUUUCGUUCUCUGCUCAGUUUAGGAAGUCAACCACGGACGUUUGAUCACAAGAGGCAGUGAAAGAAAGGUGUGGAGACAAGGGGGUUCACCCUCAGUAUUGAGGCCGUAUUUCUCAACUGAAUUUGUUACACAAGAACUGCCAAUAUGGUGUUAGCCGACUUGGGAAGAAAAAUAACCUCGGCGUUGCGAUCACUGAGCAAUGCCACCAUCAUCAAUGAGGAGGUAUUAAAUGCAAUGCUGAAAGAAGUAUGUGCUGCCCUCCUAGAAGCUGAUGUCAACAUCAAAUUGGUGAAGCAGCUCAGAGAAAAUGUCAAGUCAGCCAUUGACCUGGAGGAGAUGGCCUCUGGGCUGAACAAGAGGCGAAUGAUCCAGCAUUCUGUGUUCAAGGAACUGGUCAAGCUGGUGGAUCCAGGUGUCAAGGCUUGGACACCCACAAAGGGAAAGAACAAUGUUAUCAUGUUUGUGGGUCUUCAGGGCAGUGGGAAAACCACAACAUGUUCCAAGCUGGCGUACUACUACCAAAGAAAAGGGUGGAAAACCUGUUUGAUAUGCGCUGACACUUUUAGAGCUGGUGCCUUUGAUCAGUUGAAGCAAAAUGCAACAAAAGCCAGAAUUCCAUUCUAUGGAAGUUACACAGAGAUGGACCCUGUCGUCAUAGCUGCGGAAGGUGUGGAAAAGUUUAAGAAUGAGAGCUUUGAAAUAAUUAUUGUUGAUACCAGUGGUCGACACAAGCAAGAAGAUUCCCUUUUUGAGGAGAUGUUGCAGGUUUCCAAUGCAGUGCAACCCGAAAACAUUGUGUACGUGAUGGAUGCCUCCAUUGGUCAAGCUUGCGAAGCACAGGCUAAAGCCUUCAAAGACAAAGUAGAAGUUGCCUCAGUUAUAGUGACAAAGCUAGAUGGCCACGCCAAAGGUGGUGGUGCUCUCAGUGCAGUGGCUGCUACUAAGAGUCCCAUCAUUUUCAUUGGUACUGGUGAACACAUUGAUGACUUGGAGCCAUUUAAGACCCAACCCUUCAUCAGCAAGCUACUGGGCAUGGGAGACAUUGAAGGUUUGAUAGACAAAGUCAACGAACUCAAGCUGGAUGACAACGAGGAGUUGAUUGACAAGCUGAAACAUGGUCAGUUCACUCUUAGAGACAUGUACGAGCAGUUUCAGAACAUCAUGAAGAUGGGACCGUUUGGCCAGAUCAUGGGUAUGAUCCCAGGUUUCGGAACGGAAUUCAUGAGCAAAGGUAACGAGCAGGAGUCCAUGGCCAGGUUGAAGAAACUCAUGACAAUUAUGGACAGCAUGAAUGACCAAGAACUUGACAACAAAGAUGGUGCAAAGCUCUUCACCAAGCAGCCGAACCGAAUUGCCCGAGUUGCGCGGGGUUCUGGGGUUGCCACCAGGGACGUCCAGGAGCUGCUCACCCAGUACACAAAGUUCGCCCAGAUGGUGAAGAAGAUGGGUGGCAUUAAGGGCCUGUUCAAAGGUGGUGACAUGUCCAAGAAUGUCAACCCCUCUCAGAUGGCUAAGUUAAACCAACAGAUGGCAAAGAUGAUGGACCCAAGGGUUCUCCACCAUAUGGGUGGGAUGGCUGGUCUCCAGUCCAUGAUGAGACAGUUCCAACAGGGUGCGGCUGGCAACAUGAAAGGGAUGAUGGGAUUCAACAACAUGUGAACCACUGAGCCUUAAAACAGUAAAAUCAAAAGAUUGUCAUUUUGAUUCAGCAAGUAAUUGUAAAUGAGGCCCACAAGAUACAGAAAUGGUAGGAUCAUGAAGCUUGUCCUGGGUCAUAUUCAUUAGGAACCAAAUGGAAGAAAUUGGAAUGAAACCAGGAGGCACUGAAACCUGGACUUGUCCAAUAAGAUACGCAGUUUUUUGUUGCAAAAUAUUUUUUUAUGUUUUGUUGUGCCAUAAACACAACCCUUAUUUGGAGAGCUGGUGAAGGGUAUGCUGAUAUUAGUUUGUGAAAAUUAUUUUUGUCAAUGUUAUAAUAAAAUUUGUAUUGCAAUGUUUUAAAAA